UUAUAAUCAUUCAAAGCUGCCUCGUUAUACAGUGAUGUAUAGCAGGUCCAAGACAUGGCUAUAUGCGAAGAGGUUUUGACACGAAAGCGUCAAGAUUAUUCGCAGGGAAGUAUUAUAAACUUCAUAGAGGAAUUUUUUCUCAACAGGGUGACGGAGGGAGGGGUUGUAUCUAGAAACAAUAUCCUUCUCACAGGUGAAGGGGAGGUUUUGUGUGUAUAUCACAUUACCUCUUCUUCACUUCUUCUAUGAAGUUUAUAAUACCCCUCAGAGACCAAACGCCAUGGAUCUUUCGAAAGAAAGAUUAAGAUAUGGUCCUUCGUAGAAAGAAACGA
rnacentral:autocatalytically_spliced_intron from 1 species